GCUAUAUAAGUGCAUAAAAUAAUAAAUAAAUGAAAGAUGUCAAGACCACUUUCCUCACUGUGAGAUCACUACGUCAGCACUGAGGAGAGGGGAAAGGAACAGCUACUGAGCAUUUUAGUCCACCAGUGAAUGCAGGAAAAGAUGGAGCAGAAAGAUAAACAGCAGGGGGGACUACCAAAAAGGAAAAUGUACAAAAAAAUAGAACAAUAUUUGUAUUACAUGUAUAUUGCAAUAAUACUUCAUUUGAAAUGUCCUAUUCAUUGCAUAGUAAUACUAUUCGUAGGAUAACCAAACUAUUGAUGCUCCGAUUACUUUUCCCUCCUAAAUUCCAAAAGCAUAAUGAUAAUUUAAUUUGCCUGAUAAAUUACCACUACAACGCGCGUACACAAACAUCAGAGACGCAAAAGUAAAAAAAAAAAAUAAUAAUACUAAAUAGCAAAAGAAAAAAAGAACUUAUCCUUAAAGAAAACUAUUGGCAGCACACAGAGUAGACUUUCAGUCCACAAAAUUACUUGACUCAUUUUGACUGUUUUCAGCAUACUAGACUAAAAGUAGGGUUAACAAAAUCUUGGCUUUAACAGAAAAAUGAAGUCAUAGUCUGGCCAGUCUAUGAAACCCCCACUCAGGGAUCGUGUUCUCUAAAUAAGAUAAACUCAGCCUCCCGCUUCUAUUGUUUGGAGAAGGGAUGAGGCAGCCUCUUCUCUACACAUAUGACCUUUUGCAGUUGUUCUUAUAAGACCGGUCUUGGUCUUUAUCCUUUUAUCCUUUAGUAGUGCAUAGGGGGUUAUCAUUCUGGAAAAUUCCAUGUCUGUAGUACAUAAGGUAUAGGGUUUUUAUACAGAUUUUGAGUGAGCACCUGUAAACUGCAGGGCUAUAUCUCAUACAUUGCAUGUAUAGGUAAAAUGGAGAACGUUAACUUUAGGAUUCAGCUAUAUUAUUCACACCACUAAUUGCCUUGAAUUUAAAGGAAACAUCAUCAGAAAAUGAUCUAUUGUUUAAAUCACGUUUUUGUGUUAAACAUUUUUUUUAAUGUUCCAUGUCACCAUAUUUAAAAUGUAUAUAAUCCUAAUACUAAGUUAUGAUUUCCUGUUCUGUAAAGGUAACUUUUCAGUAGAUAUUAUCAUUAUCACCAUAGAUAGAAUUACAAUGACAAUAAAAACCUCUAUAUAGAUAGACAGGAUCUACCAUUCACAAGGUGAUAUCACACUUUAUCAGCUCCCUCCCGACCUCUGUACAGGUCACAGAGCAUGCCUAGAAAACUCUCCCAUCUAAGUCAAUGGGGUCCCCUCCUGACCAUUGUGACUAUGGACCAUGUAGCUGUCGUAAUGGGAGUCGUAAUGUUUAAGGCCUAGUGGCCAGUGUGAAAACUGUAGGAUUUUAGUUUUUAGUUUUUUUUUAUAUAGUGACAUGAAAAACAUAAAAACCCCUAAAAUUCUCAGGCUACUUUCACAUAUGUGGCACUACAAUACGACCGCAGACAAUUUUGGGAAUCAGCUGGACACAAAACGCAGCAUACAGCGGUUUGUGUCCAGCCGAUUCUCGGUCUAUGUGCCACAUACUAAACUGCUGAAGAUUUCACCCAAACUCAGGGCCAGGCAGUAUGACCUGAACAUUGCCUGGCCCUGUCAAUCAAGUCUAGCAGGGCAUGGCCAGAGGUGGAAGAACAGAGCCUCUAGGAGCAGGAGCAACGAUUUGCAUAUAAUAAAAGUUAUUUUUUCUCAAUAACGGGGGCACGUAGUGAGAUGGGACUAAGAUAGUUAUGUUCAGCGGACAUCAGCACAUCACUAAUGUCAGCCAGGUUAAUGCCCAUAUUCCUGCUGACAGAAGCCCUUUAAUCCCUUUAAAAACCCCUUUAAAUAUGCUGCUCUUGGAGAAGGGUUGCUUAAAAACUUAUGUGCAUAAAAGAGGCUCAAAGGAUAGUUUAUGAUUUCAUCAUGUUUGAGCAAUACAGUUAUAGUAUAGGUUUAAUACUACAAAAUAGAAUGCAGAUGUAUUAUUUUGAGUUACCAAUGCAUUUAUAUUGAGUACACAUUUACUUUUGAUAUACAUGUAAAUCAAUUAACUUAUCAAAUGUCGGUGUGGACCCACUGCACGUACCAACCAACUGGUUUGGCUUAGCGCUUGCUCUAAGGGCGUUAUCCUGGCAGCCCUCCGGUAUUCAUCCUUUACCCCUAUACAGGGAUCUACACUUUUCUGCGGAGAAGCUUGAGAUAGUUCCAGUUGGUUAGUGACUGACCCAUGGGGUCAGAGCCACCGAUGCGGAGUACCAAAAGAUCAGGCAAUAAACAGUCUGGAGAGUGGCCAAGGUCAGGCAGACAAUGUACAGAUGUAUCUAAGGGACAAGUCCAAAGCCAGGGCAGGCAGCAGUAGGGCAAUCUGAGAAAAAAAGCUAAGGUCCGGAAGGCGGCUUCAAGUCAGAGUCAGUAGUCAGGCUGGAGUACAGUAAACGGGUAGUCAGACAGAGAAUGCACCUUUGACCGUUACUAGGUAUGAGAAAGCCUAAAGCUUAGGCAACCUUACACUGAGGAGGGCACCUUACAUACACAGGGGUGGGUGGGGAAGGAUUUGGACACAUUCUGGCCCUUUAAGAGGACAAUAGUGAGUGCACUCACCCUAUGGAACAGGCCUGGAGGCCAUUAGACUGAAUGUGCAGGCCACAGCCUGCAGAGGAUGCUGGUGGCCAGAACCAUCACAGCUGGGAGAAAGGAGUGGGGCUGGAGAACAGGAAAGCGGGCAAUGUAAGCAGCAUGUAGACGGAAAAGGGAUGUUAGCGCAAUAGUAAGUGAUGUUAGUGCAAUAGUAAGUGAUGUUAAAAGGGGUUUUCCAGUUUGUAUCAACAUCCUUUAUAAUAAUUAUUUAUGAAGGUUGCUGUCAUUUGUAUUCUCUUUGUUUUACCAUUAUUGCCCCUAUUCUGGGCUGUGGUUACAUGACUAUGUCUAUGUGAUAGGGAAGUGUCUAUGUAGCUGGGUGGGAGCAGCUAUACCCUAGCUGGGCAAUGUUAGGGUGGUGCUGGAUCUGUGGCAGAGAAAGGAGAAGUGCAUCACGGGCUUGGUGGGAUACAGCAACAGGAAAUGCUACAUUCAGGAUCUAAACCAUAGUGAUUUGUUUUCAUGGUGAAAACGGGUCAGGAGAGAGCAAACUGAAAAAGAAAAAGCAUAGGGAAGAUGUACAUGAGGUAAGCAACCACAUGAGCGUAUCUGUAAAAAAAACAUAGUAAUCCCAGAAAACCCCUUUAAGUGAAGUUAUGCUCUUUUUUUGUAUUCAGAAGAAAAAUAAAACAAAAACUUACAGAAUUGUAUAUUCCUAUAUCAUCAAUAUAAGACAUGCAGUCAAUCCAUUUAUUGCCUACAUUUUGAAUCCAAUGUGCUUUCUCCAUCUUUGUUCUGAGUAAUUUAUUCUUCUUACCUUAAAAUGUCCAUCUGUGAAAAAUGUGUUAUUUCCUGCAUGAAUCAUAGAAGUAGACAGUUACGGAAAAGUACUUUAGCUCACUGGUGUUUAUAGAAAUUUACAAUGAAGAUCCUGCACUGUUAAACCUCAUGUAUUUUAUCCAGAAUAUUGCACUAUUCUCUGUUAAAGGAGCACUAAAUAUCCAAGUUCCUGCUCCCUUCUUCUGUUCCUUUUAUGCUACUUUGUCUCAUACUUCUCUCUGUGUUCUAGGAGAUCAGUCUGGGGCCUCCCUCUCCUCCUCACUGUUCUAUGUCUGUCUGUAAACAACUGCGUGCAGCAGGAGAUUCCCCCUCUGCUUGUUCCAAAAAUCUACUGAUUAUCCUAUGGAGGACUAAAGGCAAAGCACAUAAUGGAUCAGUUAUAGCAGUUACUGGAUCAGCUAUAUUUAGCAGUUAAGGGUGGCAACAUGAAAUUACGUCUCCAGCAGUGGAUGCCAAAAUAUGGACUGUAAAAGCUGUCUUAGAAGAUUUUCCAAUGUAAGCAGUUCCAUAACCAAAGCUGUUAAAGAGUUUCUCAUUUGCAAAUAGUGGAAAGUAAUAAACACAUGUUAAAAAGUU